rnacentral:tRNA from 1 species
CGGAAUGUAGUUCAGGUGGGAGAACACACGCUUAAUAAGUGUGAGGUCGCAGGUUCGAUUCCUGCCUUUCCGA